UACGUAGGUCUCGAGCGUUGUCCGGAUUUAUUGGGCGUAAAGCGAACGCAGGUGGUUUAUUAAGUCUGGUGUAAAAGGCAGUGGCUCAACCAUUGUAUGCAUUGGAAACUGGUAGACUUGAGUGCAGGAGGGGAGAGUGGAAUUCCAUGUGUAGCGGUGAAAUGCGUAGAUAUAUGGAGGAACACCGGUGGCGAAAGCGGCUCUCUGGCCUGUAACUGACACUGAGGCUCGAAAGCGUGGGGAGCAAACAGG
rnacentral:rRNA from 1 species